rnacentral:lncRNA from 1 species
UGUCCACGGAAACUUUUUGGCACACAGAGGUGCCUCGCAAAGUCUCGUGCCAUUCCGAGUCCGGCGGACGAAGUUGGCCAGCCCCACCCCCCAAGGCUAUAGCCCACCCGUUUUUAUGGCCUUUUUCCGAUGGACGAACUUGGCGCCCCGGCCUUCGGGCUGUUAUUUUUGGGCGCAGCUGUACCCGCGGCCACGUUUUGGCACACGGAGGUGCCUCGCAAAGUCUCGCGGCAUUCCGAGUCCGGCGGACGAAGUUGGCCAGCCCCACCCCCCAAGGCUAUAGCCCACCCGUUUUUGUGGCCUUUUUCCGCUGGACGAACUUGGCGCCCCCGCCUUCGGGCGGUUAUUUUUAGCUGCGGCUGAGCGCGCGGCCUAUUUUUGGCACAUGGAGGUGCAUCGCAAAGUCUCACGCCAUUCCAAGCCGGCGGACGAUGUUGGCCAGCCCCACCCCCCAAGGCUAUAGCCCACCCGUUUUUGUGGCAUUUUUCCGCUGGACGAACUUGGCGCCCCGGCCUUCGGGCAGUUAUUUUUGGGCGCGGCUGUGCCCGCGGCCACUCUUUGGCACACGGAGGUGCCUUGCAAAGUUUCGUACCAUUCCGAGUCCGGCGGACAAAGUUGGCCAGCCCCACCCCCCAAGGCAAUAGCCCACCCGUUUUUGUGGCCUUUUUCCGCUGGACGAACUUUGCACCCCGGCCUUCGGGCGGUUAUUUUUGGGCGCGGCUGUGUCCACGGAAACUUUUUGGCACACAGAGGUGCCUCGCAAAGUCUCGUGCCAUUCCGAGUCCGGCGGACGAAGUUGGCCAGCCCCACCCCCCAAGGCUAUAGCCCACCCGUUUUUAUGGCCUUUUUCCGAUGGACGAACUUGGCGCCCCGG